rnacentral:rRNA from 1 species
UGGGCUGGCGAAAGUGGCGAAAGGCCGCGGCCUGCAUGGAUAACCUACCUUGGGGUUGGGCAUAGCCGUUCUAACGAGCGGGUAAUUCCCAGAGAUUCAGCGGGGUGGCAUCACUUUGCUGGGAAAGAAUUUCGCCUCGAGAGGGAUCCAUGUGCUAUUAGCUAGUUGGCGGGGUAACGGCCCACCAAGGCUAAGAUGGCUAGCGGGUGUGAGAGCACGACCCGCACCACUGGCACUGAGACACUGGCCAGACACCUACGGGUGGCUGCAGUCGAGGAUCUUCGUCAAUGGGCGCAAGCCUGAACGAGCGACGCCGCUUAGCGAUGAAGGCCUUCGGGUUGUAAAGCUCGAAAGUGGAGAGAAAGGGAAACUUGAUCAAUCCACAGUAAGGACGGGCUAAGUUCGUGCCAGCAGCCGCGGUAAGACGAACUGUCCAAACGUUGUUCGGAAUCACUGGGCUUAAAGGGCGCGUAGGCGGUCCGACAAGUCAGGGGUGAAAUCCUGCAGCUUAACUGUAGAAGUGCCUCUGAUACUGUCGGUCUUGAGGGAGAUAGGGGUGUGCGGAACUUCCAGUGGAGCGGUGAAAUGCGGUGAUAUUGGAAGGAACUCCGGAGGCGAAAGCGGCGCACUGGAUCUCUUCUGACGCUGAGGCGCGAAAGCUAGGGGAGCCAAGGGGAUUAGUAUGCCCGGUAGUCCUAGCCCUAAACGGUUGAGUACUAGAUGGGGGCUUUCAGGGUUUUACAGUCGAAGCAAAAGGGUUAAGCACUCGGGGGGGGGGGAGGAGGGUCGCAGGGGCGGAAAGUCGGGGGGAAGGGGGGGGGGGGGGCGCAAGCGCGGAGCAUCUGGCUUAAUUCGAGGCUACGGAAGAGCCUUAUCCUAGGCUGGACAUAUGGGAAAGCGUCUGGGGGGGUUCUCCGGAAACGCAGAGCGAAGGUAUCCAAUCGUGAACCAGAUACAGGGGGUGCAUAACUGUGUCAGCUCGUGUCGUGAGAUGUCGGGUUAACUCCCAUAACGAGCGAAACCCUUGCUUCCAGUGGCCAGCGAGUAAUGUCGGGGACUCGGGAAGGACUGCCGGUGUUAAACCGGAGCAAGGUGGGCAUGACGUCAAGUCCUCAUGCCUUUAUGCCUAGGGCUCCACACCUCCUCCAAUCACCGAACAAAGGAGCCAACGCGCGAGCGGGACCAAUCCCAAAAAACUUCCCAUUCAAUCGAAGCUCAACUCCCUUCUAAGUGG